rnacentral:rRNA from 1 species
CCAGACUCCUACGGGAGGCAGCAGUGGGGAAUAUUGCACAAUGGGGGGAACCCUGAUGCAGCGACGCCGCGUGGGUGAAGAAGUCAUUCGUGACGUAAAGCCCUGUCAGCAGGGAAGAAAAUGGCGGUACCUGAAGAAGAAGCCCCGGCUAACUACGUGCCAGCAGCCGCGGUAAUACGUAGGGGGCAAGCGUUAUCCGGAUUUACUGGGUGUAAAGGGGGCGCAGACGGCGAUGCAAGCCAGGAGUGAAAGCCCGGGGCCCAACCCCGGGACUGCUCUUGGAACUGCGUGGCUGGAGUGCAGGAGGGGCAGGCGGAAUUCCUGGUGUAGCGGUGAAAUGCGUAGAUAUCAGGAGGAACACCGGUGGCGAAGGCGGCCUUCUGGACUGCAACUGACGUUGAGGCCCGAAAGCGUGGGGAGCAAACAGGAUUAGAUACCCGGGUAUA